AGAGGUAGAGGGAGACCUAAGAAGUAUUGGGGAGAGGUGAUCAGGCAGGACAUGGCACGACUGCACAUUUCCGAGGACAUGACCCUUGAUAGGAAGGCCUGGAGGUCAUGCAAUAGGGUUGUAUGAUAGGGGUAGUAAAGCUUUCCUUACUUCAUCCCGAGGGUGAGGCGGGUUGUUGGAUUAUGGUUGGUCUUAGAUGACUUGCAGUUUAUGUUGGACCCACACUAUUCUUGUUGUUUGUCU
rnacentral:lncRNA from 1 species